GUAACAGAUCGCUGUGAUCCCUUCGGGGUGAACUUGAUGCUGACGAGUGGCGAACGGGUGAGUAACGCGUAGGAAUCUACCUUUCAGUGGGGGAUAGCUCGGGGAAACUCGAAUUAAUACCGCAUACACCCUUCGGGGGAAAGGGGGCCUCUCCUUGGAAGCUCUCGCUGUUAGAUGAGCCUGCGUGAGAUUAGCUUGUUGGUAAGGUAAUGGCUUACCAAGGCUACGAUCUCUAGCUGGUCUGAGAGGACGAUCAGCCACACUGGGACUGAGACACGGCCCAGACUCCUACGGGAGGCAGCAGUAGGGAAUAUUGGACAAUGGGGGCAACCCUGAUCCAGGCAUGCCGCGUGUGUGAAGAAGGCCUUAGGGUUGUAAAGCACUUUAAGUGAGGAAGAAAAGAUUUGAAUUAAUACUUUAAGUCCCUGACAUUACUCACAGAAUAAGGACCGGCUAACUCCGUGCCAGCAGCCGCGGUAAUACGGAGGGUCCAAGCGUUAAUCGGAAUUACUGGGCGUAAAGCGCGCGUAGAUGGUUUAUUCAGUUGGGUGUGAAAUCCCUGGGCUCAACCUAGGAACUGCAUUCAAAACUUAUAAACUAGAGUACGAAAGAGGAGAGUAGAAUUCAUGGUGUAGCGGUGAAAUGCGUAGAGAUCAUGAGGAAUACCAGU
rnacentral:rRNA from 1 species